UACGAAGGGGGCUAGCGUUGCUCGGAAUCACUGGGCGUAAAGCGCACGUAGGCGGCUUCUUAAGUCAGGGGUGAAAUCCUGGAGCUCAACUCCAGAACUGCCUUUGAUACUGAGAAGCUUGAGUCCGGGAGAGGUGAGUGGAACUGCGAGUGUAGAGGUGAAAUUCGUAGAUAUUCGCAAGAACACCAGUGGCGAAGGCGGCUCACUGGCCCGGUACUGACGCUGAGGUACGAAAGCGUGGGGAGCAAACAGGG
rnacentral:rRNA from 1 species